rnacentral:misc_RNA from 1 species
AACGCAUCUUGCGCUCCUUGGUAUUCCGAGGAGCAUGCCUGUUUGAGUGUCAUUUGACUUCUCUCAACCACAUCGAAAUUGAUGUGCGCUUGGAUGUGGGGGUUUUGCAGGCUUUCUUUUCUAAUGAAAGCUGGCUCCCCUGAAAUGCAUUAGUGGUGAUCUGAGCUGCUAUUGGUGUGAUAAAUCUAUCUAUGCCUUUGGUAAUGCUGGUCAGCACCGCUUAUAACAACAAACAUUUGACAAAUUUGACCUCAAAUCAGGUAGGACUACCCGCUGAACUUAA